rnacentral:lncRNA from 1 species
UUAUUUUACUUGUAGUUCGCUGUGUCGGAUCGUUGGCGCUAAUCAUUAAUCCCAAAAGCUCAAGCUGUUAAAAUUACGCAACCAAUUCACUUAAAGCGUACAGAUACAGAGCCAACAGGUCUCGAUUGUGACUCGGCCCAACCAGCCUCACGCCACUUCGAACAUGACUCGGCCCACACAUGACCUUCUGUCAUAGGGCAGGAUGCUGGCCCAUUUAAGUCCACACGCUAUGGUUAUACUUGUUGGAUUGAAUGGACUAGGUUGGGGCGAGUUAUAGUCGAAGCCUGCAAGCGUUU